AUUGAACGCUGGCGGCAUGCCUUACACAUGCAAGUCGAACGGUAACAGGUUAAGCUGCCGAGUGGCGAACGGGUGAGUAAUGUAUCGGAACGUGCCCAGUCGUGGGGGAUAACUGCUCGAAAGAGCAGCUAAUACCGCAUACGACCUGAGGGUGAAAGCGGGGGAUCGCAAGACCUCGCGCGAUUGGAGCGGCCGAUAUCAGAUUAGGUAGUUGGUGAGGUAAAGGCUCACCAAGCCGACGAUCUGUAGCUGGUCUGAGAGGACGACCAGCCACACUGGGACUGAGACACGGCCCAGACUCCUACGGGAGGCAGCAGGGGGGAAGGUUGGACAAUGGGCGCAAGCCUGAUCCAGCCAUGCCGCGUGCGGGAAGAAGGCCUUCGGGUUGUAAACCGCUUUUGUCAGGGAAGAAAAGGUUCUGGCUAAUACCUGGGACUCAUGACGGUACCUGAAGAAUAAGCACCGGCUAACUACGUG
rnacentral:rRNA from 1 species